rnacentral:misc_RNA from 1 species
UAUAAUGUUAUAUUAGAUAAGCUCAAAAACGAUUGUCAAAAUUUAUCCGGAAAAUUACUUGGCAACUCAUUUAGAGGUAUGAAGUUGAUAGGCAAUGAGAAUAUGAUAAAGUAAAGCAGCUUUGAACCCUUUUCUCAAAUAUAAACAAUUUGCCCUGAACAUUAAGGAAAGCAAUUCUUGUUUCUCAUGCCAACAAUGAGAAACCCUUUUCAUAGAAUUUUUGGUAACGUUGCAUCACAUUUUCAUCUUCAACUGGAAUACAUUACCCCCAAUCCAUGUGCAUUUCCCUGUUUCCUCAUUUUUCUUCAUUUGGAAUUUGAAUCCUAGAAAUUAAAAUCCCAAGUCUAUUCCGUGGAUUUAAAAUUAUCUUACAUUCAUUCACUUUUCCAAACCGAUGCUUUGAUUCAACUAGCAUAGUGCAUUUACGUAUAGAAAGAUAAGUCAUCAUCUCAAAUCCAGUGAAAAAGACAGACCCACAAACCAUGAAGCAAAUGCAAAUUUCUUAUCCCAGAUUUCACCAUGGAGUGUAGCUUUAGCAGGAAUCCAGAGCACCAAAAAUCACAUGGGCUUAUCUUCCAAAUGAUGCAACGCCGUGGUCCCCUCCCAAAAACCAUUAUUUCCAGAGGCCUUUAAAGUUUUUGAACCAUUCCAUGGAGAAAAGGGCAUCACUCACGCUUACCAUCUCACAUCGCUGUCUCCAUACUACAAAUAUGUGCAUGCCACAUGUGUACACAGGCAUAAGACAACAGAAAAACCAUGCAAAUUUAUAUUACAUCCAAACAACCAAAUCCAGUCACUAGAUACAGAGCCCCAUGAGCUUCAAGGAAAACAAGUAGACAAACAUGCAUGUUCUUCCACAAUCAAAUUAUAACACCCAUCAAAAAGAAAGGAAGCCAGUCCACCGGUGACAAUGCCUCAGAAGAAACAUGAAAUGGCAAAUCAAAGGUCCCCGGGAGGUUUGCCAGGAUGAAAUAUGAAGGAGGGCCUCACUCGUGCACUGUUACAUAAAAAAGUGGCAACCCUACAAAAGAGAAAUAAAAUGACAAGAAUACAAAAAGGGCGGAAAAGUGAAGGUUGGGUCCCAAAACACCCAAGCAGCGUGCGUUCACCCUCCUUCCAAGAGGGGGGCCCUCCAAAAUAACCAGUCUUCUUAUUCACACAGCCAUUCUCCCACGCCCAGGUGUGAGUGCUACUUUAUCACGGCCCUAAGACACGGCUUAAUGAUUCAACUUCUUACUUUAUGGGACGUAUUAUGCUGCAUUGCCUUUCUCUUUACAAGGACCAUGGAUGAUAUUGACAAUCAAAGCUUACUGAUUUCGAAAUCAAUCAUUGAUUAUAGACUACAGUACACGUUGCAUGAUCCUCACCUCUCUCUUUCCAAUUUGCACAUCCUUUGCGAGAAACUCUUCAAUCUUGAGCAAAUCCUUCCUUCAUGCCCAGUACAUGUUCACCUGACUUAUUCUGUUCACACCAUUAACUUCUAAUAAUUAACAAGUAACUAAUAAACCUAGUACAGCAACUAGUAUUACUUGAAGUUUUGCCACUCAUGAAGCAUCAAGUCCUAAAGCUUUUGCUUUGAGCUUCAAGGAUUUCAGGUAAUUAAUAGCUUCAUCGAGAACAACAGUUGCAUCCUUGCCCUUUCCACCUGGAAUUAUGUUCUGCAGAAUGCUCACAGUCUCUCGUAUUCUUUCUUUUCUUAUCCUUUUCUUGGUUGGUUCUGAAUUCAUCUCACCUGAGGUCCAAUCCAAGCCAUCUUCACACCUAGAUUCAGCAUCAUCCUCAAACUCGCAACUUCUGAUGGGUUUCAUAGAACUAGCAGUGUCCAUUAGUGCUGGUAAAACACUGUAACCACCUUCAAACAGUUUUCGCUUUUUAGUUGAACCAUCGGAACUUGCAACCUCUUCUAUGCUUCCCUCAAACCAAUCUUGAUUAUUGUGAGCUGUCAUUGUACUAGGUGAGUGACCUGUACUGGUAACUUCAUCAUCAUCAGUGGAAUCACUAUCAUCAUCCGAGUACAGCAAAGCAUUCAGUUCUUCAGUGUCCUCAUGCAUAUCACUUUGUAAUUCAGUAUCAUUUUUUCCUCCAAGUUGGUUAGCUGAGAUAGCCUCUAAAUGAAUAUUUUCCUUAGUCCCAUGAUCUUCCCUCUUCAAAUUAUAUGCAGCAAUUGGAUUUGGACUCCACGAAGUAAAGCACUGGACAGGAGCCCCAGUACCAGAACUAAAGAUCAGAGUUGUUUGAUCACCUGACUGAUCAAAAACCAGGAAUUUCUUCUGAUGACAACCAGGCUCUACCUUGGGUGCAAUGGCCUCCUUAUGAUCGUCACAAGGGACAGUAACAAGUUUUUCUUUGAGACCAGAGUUCAAAGCAGGCAUGAAAGCCUGUCGGAAACAAGGCAAACGGUAAAACCAACCAUGAGGCUCCUCUGCUUGACCAACAUGCAAGUGAGAUAGCUCAGGGGGUGGAUAUACAGGUAAAGUCCCCUUUAUAGAAACCAUGUCAGUGCCAGAGUUCAUAAAUGAAGGGGCUGUAUACUGCUGCCCCAAGUUAUAUGGAGCACCCAAAUAAUUCAAAUUCGGCGAUUGCCAAUCAAAUUGUUGCUGAUGAAACCAGGAUCCCCAGUCCUCACCCAUCCAACUAUAACAAUCACCUAUACAGAAGGAUUUCUGCAGUAAUAAAAGAGGCAGUUCACUUGCUGUUUCUUUCAGUAAUAAUAAAAAAAAAACAAAAGACUCCAGCUUAACUUGAAAACAGUGGCCCAAAAAGUAAAUCUACGUGACAGGUUUAAGCAAAUGACGGAAAUAUUCAGCCUGGCAAUCUUGAAGAGGAUGAAAGCAUGCUAUGACUCUAACUAUAAUGGUGGCACUCCCAGCAAUCCCAUUUUCGUGUUUUAAUGCCCGAAAAUUUGUUUGGCUCGCUGCUUGGCACACCAUAACUACUUCCCAACCCUUCAAUAUGAUGGAAACAACAAGAAUACGAUCUUUCCUGGGGGCAGUGAACUGAAAGCUUGCAAUCUGUGUAGACUAGGCAAUAUCAAUCGAACAACAGAAGACCAGAUUGAUAGACAACAAUAAGAUGCUCAAUACAAGGAGCCGGAGAGAGUAGACCAAUAAAAUAAAAUAAUCACAGGGAUUUAUUGCCAAGCAAGAGAAUGAGAACAAUUGGACAAAGAUAAAAGAUGGAUUCCCUUAUUCAGCUAAUCUGGCGGACAUAGCAGGGAAUGACAAUGAAAAAAGUGGAUCCCAUGGAAACUAACUGGACAAAAACAAGCUGCAGAAUUGGAGGGUAUGCUUAUUGGAAAAGAAAAUUACAGGAUUACUCUACAAUAGAGGUUCAAGGAGAUAACUUUCCUAUACACAUCAACAGAAAGACUAAAAAACCACCGCAUACUGUUUUUCUUUGCCAAAAGAUCGCCACUGCUGUUAAUUGCACCAAUACCACUUCAAGGACCCUGCAAGAGGGUUUACAAAUCAUUGAAAAAACCACAUGCAAAAUUUCCAGGAAACUAUAAUAUUAGAUCUUAUUUCUGUGAUUGAGAAACGAAUAAAAGACACAAGUUCGGUAACAAGAAUAAACAGGCACUAUAUAAUCAUUGAAUAAUGAAGCUCCACUGCUUAAAUUAAAAGAAAAAAAAAAAAGAGAGUUAUUGUGAGAAAUUUUUUGGUCAUCCUCAGAUUUCUCAGCUGACCAAACAAAACGAAUUCAAAAUACCAAAGCAAAUUCAGCUUCAUGGUUUACAGCUAUUUGCGUGCAGAAAGUUAGCCAUUCAUAUUUAGCAGAAGGAUCUCACUUUUACCCUAUAGAUUAUAGAUGAAAAUAUGGUCUAAAGAAGUAACAGAACAAAAGCAAAGCAUCUUACUAGAAAAUUAGCAGGGAAAAAUAAACAUUAAUUGGAAGGAAAAGGACAGAAAAGAGUGGUUGAGAGAGAGAGAAACAGAGAGAAAUUCAGAUAAAUGGGAAUAAAAAAAUUGAAGCUGAAACCAUCAAAAGUGAAGGAAGAAAGGAAAAAAGCCGAAAAUUUAGAUCAGAAAUAAACAGAAAAUCAAAACCCAUUAACCAAAAAGGACGAUUCAGUCAAAAUAUCAGCAAAGAAUAUCAACCACACAAAUCAACAUAAAGCCAAAGAGAACUUACAGUGAAAAAAGAACCCGAUUCAGUCCAAGAAUAAACCUUCAAGCCACCCAAUUCCACAAACCAAAUAACCAGAUCAAGCACAGCACAAGCAGACACUUAAAAACAGCUUCAGCUUCACAGUUGCAGAUAGAGAGAAAAAGAGAGCAAUCAAAGUGGAAACAUUGGGAUGCACGGAAGCUAAGGUUAUAUAGAAACCAAAUUGACAGGAAUGUCCUGGGCCUGAACAAUGGUGCUGAUGGCAAUGGCAUUAAAAAAAAAUAAGAGAAAAAGCGAAAGCCUCAUACGUG